rnacentral:misc_RNA from 1 species
AGCCCAGUCAGUGUCACACCCUCGACGCGUAUGGUCGUCCGCGUGUGGCUCAGCUCCCCGCACACAACUCUCCUCCUUGCCUGUGUUGGCGUUCGCUCGUCUGGAUUUUUCGUCGCUUCUGGAUCCUUUUCUUAACACGACGCCGGAGACCGCCCUUACCUCCGGGUGGCGUUGGCACCGGUGCCAGGGCGAGCGAGGCAGCACCAUCGGCAGCGGCGGCGGCGGCGGCGGCUGCGGGAGGCUAGAAGCGUGCAGUAGUGUGGUGAGGUGCGUAACGCGCGGUGGUCCAGUGCAGUGCCGUGUUCUCCUACGCCGUAGCUUGGGAUGUGCUGGUGGCGGUGCAGUGCAGUGACCCGCGACACCAGUGAUCAGUGUGACGUCGAAGGGGCCAGUGAUUUUAUCAGUGCUAACGCGCAGUGAUUAGUGCUCAGUGAGUGUGGAGUGAACCAGGUGCCGUUUGCGUCGAGGCACCGGUGAUGGCGCGCCCGUGGCAUCCUGGCUAUUAUGGUUGAGAAUGUGGGCGGUCAGUGCGGGCGUGCGGCGGUCACCAGGGUUGCAAGUAGUCGCGUGGAGUUGCGUGCGUGCCGUGUGCGUGCGUGCCGCGGCGUGCACGUGGUGGGCGUGAAGCCGUGCGACGCGCCCGCGCCCUGCCCUGCGCAUUAUGGACUGUGUCUGCCCGUGGUAGUGAACCUCACUGACCCGGCCAACGCCCUCGGGACCGUCCAUCCCGACAAGGACGCCAUUCUGGACAUUGUAGAAGCCAACCGCAAGAAGCAGGCCGCCGCUAGAACCAGGAAGGCCUCGGGGGACUCCCUCACCCCCCAGCAGACGUCGCCCUCGCCGCUGGGAGACUCUCCCACCCCGCUAGACACGCUGCAGCAGGCGGGGCAGCAGAAGCAGCAGCCGUCCGCUGCUGAGAGCUGGCGCAUCGCGCGCGCCGUACAGCGUUGGGCUCAGGGCUUCGGCAAGGGCGAGAGAGAGCGAGACAGCAGAGAGGAAGAGAGGAAAUACGAGGAGGGGGCGGGCACGCUGGCCGAGCUGGCUGCAGAGAAGCGGGCAGGGCGCGCGGCCCCUGGCCCCGAGCCGCCCACGGGCGCCCCACGCCAUCAUGAAGCCGUCCAACUCUUUUCGGAACUGAUGCAGACCGACGACGUGUCGACCAUAGCGGCGCAGAUCGCUAACCAGGCCGAACUCAUCUACCAGACCUGGAAGACGACCGGCCUCAACCCCACCGAGCUCAUCCGCUACCACAGCGUCACCUCGGAGGGGAGCCUCUUCCAGGGAGGCGAGCAGAGCGCCUCAGCCGGGGACCCCCACGCCCCCUCCACCCCCUCCACGCCCUCUCCCUCGGCCAAGCCCCGCACCCCCGCCAGGAGCAUCAGCCCUGCGCCCCCCGGCUCCUCCCCGGCCGUGCCCAGGAAGGUGAUCGAGCCCUCGCUGCACAACGGCCGUCCGCACUCUGCGUCCCCCGUGCGAACCCUCAACACUUCCCCCCGCCCCUACAUCCCGCCCACAGUCUCACCUCAGUCCCCGGGGCCGCAUCCGCACCAGCAGCCUCAGUUUCAGCAUCAGCAACAGAUUCAGCAGCAAACAUAUCAUCAGCAACAGCAACUACAUCAGCAGCAGCAACAGCACCAGCUGCAGCACCAUCACCAUCAACAGCAACAGCAGCAGGUUUACGCGAGCAACAACGUGUCCCCUGCGGCCCCUCAGUCCCCUCGGUUGUCUUAUUCGUCUCCCGCCUCUCCGUCCCUCUCCCAGGGGAGUCCCCGCCCCUACGUGUCCCCUGCCGCCCCCCAGUCCCCUCGCGGGGCCUUGAUCCAGCCGCCCCCACCCCCCGAAAGGUCGUCCUCGUACACGGGCGUCGACUCCAGUCCGCAGCCGCAGCAGGGGCAGGACAGUCCCUUCGAUAUCCUCGCUGACCCCGAGCUGGAGGCUUCCCUCCAGGAGCUUGUGAACUCUUUCGUGAUCGAGGACAAGGCGCGUCACCACGCCGCCGCGGUCGCCGCGCUGGCGUCCCAACGGCCCAAGAGCGCGCCCUCGUCUAUCCAGGAGGCGCUGCAGAGAUUCGAGCGGCAGAUGGCCAUUACCUCCCGCGCCGCCGCCCAUGCAGCUGACAACGUGUCCAACUCCUCCUCGCCCGCCGCCUCUCCUAACACCAUGGGUACCCUGGGAAGGUUCUCACAGCAGCAGCAACAGCAGCAGCUGACCAACAGCAUGUCCACCAGCCUUAGCAGUAGCAACAUCAGUAUCAGCAGCAGUAGCAGUAGCACGAGCAGCAGCAGCAUGAGCAUCAACACGGCAGGUCGGCGGCUCGGCGGCGGCCGCAGCGACUCCUCCAUGACGUCCGAGUGGUCCCGCAUCCAUGCCGACGGCGAGGGGCGCAGCCGGCGCUCGGCGUCGCCCAACCCGCCGGUGUCACAGCCGGGCUGGAACGAGGGCCCCUCCGCGAACACCUCCACCUGGCCGCUGAAGAACAAGCAGCCCAAUGUGGUGGAGAGGAAGUCUAUGCAGAGCCAGCACAUGUCGUCGCACAUGUCUUCCAGCUCGGGUGCCCAGUCGUCGUCCUAUUCGUCAUCGUCGUCGUCCGUGUCAUCGUACUCGUCGGCGAGCGCCAACACCAACACGACCACCAACUACAUCACGACACUGGAGGCGCGAGUGGAGAGCUCGUCCUCGCAGAAGUUCUCUGGGGUCCCUCUCCGACACAAGGUGGUGACCAUGGCGGCCGUUGACAAGGAGGAGGAGCGCCUCAUGCAUGCCCUCCGCACAGGGACGCUUAUUGAUGACGGAGACCACUUGAGGCCCUUGGGACAGGCUCGACCCACGUCCGCCCCCGUGUCUUCUCCGCAGACAUCGCUUCACGCGCCCAACAAUACCAUCAUCACCUCGGGCACCCCCAACAACCUCCCCAACCAGACUGAGACGCAAGACUUCCCCGCGCAGGGACGGCGCCCCAAGUUCUCCAUCAGCGUCACCGUUGACGUUGAUAAGCCUAAAGAAAAUCAGCAGCAACGGGUACAGCAACAGAUGCAACAACAGCAACAGAAGCAGCAACAAAUCCACCUUCAGCAGAAGACGCAGAAGAUGACGACCACUAGCACAAGCUCAACUAUGGAGAAGCAGACCUCCCCGGUGCGCGUGACGACCAAAAACUCGAGCGACGGCGACAUGUCCAUCGUGGACUUCGCUAAGGUCCGCUUCCAGGAGUCGCAGCAGCACCCGCACUCCACGCAGCGCCUCGAGGAUUACCGCAAUAUGUCCAAGCAGGUGGUGAGUAGCGACGGCCGCGUCAUGAUGGCCCGCACGCGUUUCGAGAACGGCAGCACGUCGCUCUCGGACUCUGUGUGGCGGGGCACGAUGGGCAUCCAGGCGGACGAGGUGGGUUCCACCCUGCCGGAAUUCUACCGCCGCAAGCUCCGGAAGAUGCGCAAAGCCGGGUCCCCCGAGCCCUUGGUGGCCGGAAGCAUCUCGACGCUGCCGCACCCGGAGCUGACGGACCAGCAGAAGGCCCACAUCAGGGAGAGGUCUCAGAGCCCGACCACGGGCUACAACAGCGCCGGCGUCGCCAUCCGGCCCUUCCUCACGCAAGGCAGCGUGGCGGAGCGGGUUCUCAUCUUCGAGAGGGCGCCGGCCGAGAUGAAGCCCAAGCCCAGCACGGGCGCGCCCCUCCCGGAGAAGAGGCGCCCCGCAGUUAACACCUGGCGAGACCCAGAUGAAGUCCGCUCCUACGUGCAGUUUUGGAACAUCCUGAACUUUUUGGGGGCCUUAGACGAUUUGACGGACGGCAUCGCUUCCCCGCCCUCGCCCGCGUCCCCGGCUGCCGCCCGCCAGAUCGAGGCCCCACCGCCCGCCACGCAGGAGACCAAGUCGCUGACUUACGUCCGGGAUAACAGCGCCGCCCACAAGGAGAAUGCCCGCCCGCUCCCCACGUCCCCGCCCACGACGCCCGUGUCCCCGCUGUCGCCGCCCACGCCCCAGGGCUCGGUCAGCACCACGUCGGCCACCAUCACACCUGGGGUCGCCCACAAUGCCCACCCCGCUCCCGGCUCUCCCGUGGGCGUCGUGCCCUCGGCCCCCGCGCCCCUGCAGUCCCCGAGGGCCACCAACACCAUCCGCCGCCACACCAAGGCCACCAAGAACCUCCUCAUACCCAGAUUCUAUUAUCCAAUGGGCCGACCCACAACCCAAGUGUCCCAGGAGCAGUCAAUAUCGCGGGUCAGCGCUGUGUUCCGAGAGAAUGGAGGUCAGAUAACGCGAGACAACAUGGAGCCUCUGGUAAGGGCUUGCCAAGUCCCACUCUACUGGAAGGCUCCUCUCUUCAUUGCUGCUGGUGGAGACAAGCUGGGCUACCUCACACAGGAGCAGUUCUCAGACUAUUGGAGCAGAGUGAUCUCUACCUGCCACGACAUGGCCUCUCGCUUUGUUCGAGUGCUGAGUCGCGGCGUUCGGAACUACCUCAUGCCAGAGGACUUUCUUAGCAUGAUUCAGGAUGUGGUGGAUACCCACCCUGGCCUCACCUUCCUCAAGGAAGCCACUGAGUUCCACUCCAGAUAUGUUCAUACAGUCAUAGCAAGAAUAUAUUAUUGUGUAAAUAGAUCCUGGUCAGGUAGAAUAACAGUUCCAGAACUUAGGAGAUCAAACUUGUUACAAGUUAUAAGCUAUUUAGAGGAAGAAGAAGAUAUUAACCAAAUCACUGAUUACUUCAGCUAUGAGCAUUUUUAUGUUAUUUAUUGCAAGUUCUGGGAAUUGGACACAGAUCAUGACCUCUUCAUUGAUAAGCAUGAUCUUGCAAAACAUAAUGAAAGAGCGCUGUCAUGGCGUAUGAUUGAGCGAAUAUUUAGCGGGGCAGUGACAAGAGGAAGGCUUCAGAAGCAGGAUCGCAUGGGCUACCAGGAGUUUGUGUGGUUCCUGAUUUCCGAGGAGGACAAACGGCAUCCCACAGCCAUUGAAUAUUGGUUCAGGUGUAUGGAUCUGGACGGGGAUGGUUAUCUGUCCAUGUAUGAGUUGGAAUACUUUUAUGAGGAGCAGCUGCAGCGCAUGGAGGCCCUCGGCAUUGAGACUCUUCCCUUCCAUGACUGCCUCUGCCAGAUGUUGGAUAUGGUGCGUCCAGAGAUGGGUGACAAGAUAUCCCUAAGGGAUUUGAAGCGUUGCCGCAUGACGCCCAUCUUCUUCGACACGUUCUUCAACCUAGAGAAAUACCUGGACCACGAACAGCGUGAUCCCUUCGCAUCACACAGAGCUGAGGACGACGGGCCAGAGUUCCUGCAGGUAUCGGAGUGGGAUCGCUAUGCUGCUGAAGAGUACGAGCUGCUGGUGGCAGAGGAGGGCGGAGCAGAUCACCAAGACGAUAUCAAAAUUUAACCAAAAAUAAAGAGACAAAGAAAAUGAAAAUUGUUGACAAGUUUUACCGUAAUUCUUAGUGCUAAUGAAGGAUUGUGGAGGAGAGUCUGUGAGGA